GACGAAGGGGGCUAGCGUUGCUCGGAAUCACUGGGCGUAAAGGGUGCGUAGGCGGGGCUUUAAGUCCGGGGUGAAAUCCUGGAGCUCAACUCCAGAACUGCCUUUGAUACUGAAGAUCUUGAGUUCGGGAGAGGUGAGUGGAACUGCGAGUGUAGAGGUGAAAUUCGUAGAUAUUCGCAAGAACACCAGUGGCGAAGGCGGCUCACUGGCCCGAUACUGACGCUGAGGCACGAAAGCGUGGGGAGCAAACAGG
rnacentral:rRNA from 1 species